rnacentral:rRNA from 1 species
GACGAACGCUGGCGGCGUGCCUAAUACAUGCAAGUCGAACGCAGUGGGGACGGGUUAGUAACACGUGGGUAAUCUCCCAUCAGAGGGGAUAACACUUGGAAACAGGUGCUAACCCGAUAUUGACGGAUGGACCCGCGGUGCAUUAGCUAGUUGGUGGGGUAUCGGCUAACCAAGGCCACGAUGCAUAGCCGGCCUGAGAGGGUGAGCGGCAAAACGGGAACUGAGACACGGACCAGACGCCUACGGGAGGAAGCAGUGGGGAAUCGUGGGCAAUGGAAGAAAGUCUGACGGAGAAAUGCCGCGUGAGUGAAUAAGGUAUUCGGGUGGUAAAGCUCUGUAGUUAGAGAGGCGGUAUCUGAACAGGAAGCAACGGCUAACUACGUGCCAGCAGCCGCGGUAAUUC